GUCCUUUGGAAAAUGAAAAGUGGAAUCUGAUCGGUCGCUAUGGGCAACUAAGCCAGUUCUACUUUACACCAGUUUGAUAAAUCUUCCCCUAUAUGUCUGACAAAGAUAGCCACCAGACAGCUACUUCCUGUCCCACACAGCUACUUCCUGUCCCACACAAAACUACUUCCUGUCACAGACAAAUACUUCCUCUCCCACACAGGUAAUUCCUCUCUGGAGCACAUAUGUACAAUUUUACAAUAAUUUUUAUUGCUCCAAUACUGUGGGAAAAAAAAUGGAGUAACUUUGCAAAUAGCCUUCCAUUUUUUUAUACAGCUUCCAUGCAGACCUAUUAGACUACAAUCAAACCACGUGUAGCCUGAACCUGAUGACAUCUCUUCCAUAUCUCUCCUACUUUCUGUAGGUUAUCAAGAAAAGGGAGCAGAAGCAAUGCAGUAUGACUACAGGAUCAGACUACACACAGGGUAUGUUUGUAGUCUGUAACCAUGGAAACACAGUGGGUUACAAGUUGUAUAUACAAAAUGGUAAUAUCAAGAUCAUUGAAAAGUUGCUCCUUUUUAGAUGCAUUGGAGUAAUGAAAAUGGUUGCAAAAAUUCUGCCUCUUUGGACAAUUCCUACUUGUUUGAAGGAUCACUUGAUCACAAAGUGUCCUCUUGCUCUAGCUCUUAGCACUUUUCUGUAAUCUGUGGGGAAACCCAGCAGUAAAUGUUUAUUUUCCCUGCAGUGCCACCACAGACGAAAUGAAGCAUUACACACAGUGCUCGUUCAUAUUAAUGUGUUGUCUGUGUAAUGCAGGACAGGGCAGGUCCUCCAGAGUAAGAGACGCUUUUAGUAUCUGGUGUAAGGCCAAGAGGUGAGGAUUCUGGACAGAGGACCCCUGAGUCUGUCAGCAGUUUUCACCAGGCUACACGGCUGGCAGCAAUAUUACAGACUGGGGAGAGCAGUUAAACAUACCUUUUGUGGAGCUUUUAUUAUCAGGAGUAGUGUGAAUAUGAAGUUUUAUGCUUACAGAUUUUGCUCCUGCAAAUGCCCCGAGCAGGGCCUUCACUGUGAAGUGCUGUCUGAACUAAGUAGCUUCAUGGCUCCUCCCCCUCUGUUCUGAGGUGUAGCAUCCAACCAGAAGACCAUAACAGCUGUCACUCAGAGGAGAGGGGCUGGGAAGCAGUUCAUUGCAGAGAGCACUUCCCAGUGAAGCUCCGCCUCCUGGGCACUUGCAGGAGCAGAACCCGGCAAAAAAAAACUUCAUAUUCACACUACUCCUGAUGAGAACAGCUCUACAAAA